rnacentral:rRNA from 1 species
AUACGGAGGGUGCAAGCGUUAUCCGGAAUCAUUGGGUUUAAAGGGUCCGCAGGCGGUCAAUUAAGUCAGAGGUGAAAGCCCAUCGCUCAACGAUGGAACUGCCUUUGAUACUGGUUGACUUGAGUUAUACGGAAGUAGAUAGAAUAAGUAGUGUAGCGGUGAAAUGCAUAGAUAUUACUUAGAAUACCGAUUGCGAAGGCAGUCUACUACGUAUAUACUGACGCUGAGGGACGAAAGCGUGGGGAGCGAACAGGAUUAGAAACCCUUGUAGUCC